rnacentral:rRNA from 1 species
GAUGAACGCUGGCGGCGUGCUUAACACAUGCAAGUCGAGCGAAGCGAUUUUAAGGGAGCCUUCGGGUGGAAUUAAGAUUGACUUAGCGGCGGACGGGUGAGUAACGCGUGGGUAACCUGCCUCAUACAGGGGGAUAACAGUUAGAAAUGACUGCUAAUACCGCAUAAGCGCACAGUGUUGCAUAGCACAGUGUGAAAAACUCCGGUGGUAUGAGAUGGACCCGCGUCUGAUUAGGUAGUUGGUGAGGUAACGGCCCACCAAGCCGACGAUCAGUAGCCGACCUGGGAGGGUGACCGGCCACAUUGGGACUGGGAAAAGGCCCAAAAUCCUACGGGAGGCAGCAGUGGGGAAUAUUGGAAAAUGGGGGAAACCCUGAUCCAGCGACGGCGCGUGACUGAAGAAGUAUUUCGGUAUGUAAAGGUCUAUCAGCAGGGAAGAAAAUGACGGUACCUGACUAAGAAGCCCCGGCUAACUACGUGCCAGCAGCCGCAGUAA